rnacentral:lncRNA from 1 species
CCUGGGCUUGCAGCCAUGUGCGGCCUGCCAGCAUUCCCCGCCCAGUCAGGCAGGUGUAAUGCUCUCUCCCCGGGCGCUACCAGCAAACGAUGCUCUCAGGGUGGGUGCAGGGCCUCAGCUGCAGGGGCCCCUCACUGCUCCAGUCCCCACCUCAUCUGCUCCCAGGGGUUGUGCGGCAGUGCAGUGCAGGCAGCAUGGUGCUGAAUGGGCCCAGUGCACGGCAGGCCAGGCCUUGUCUCACUACGCUGCCUGGCGUGGCCAUUGGAGCCGGAGGACAGAGGCGGGGCUGGUGCAAGUCACUUACCAGCAAUUGCUCGGCCACACGAGGGGUGAAAAGGUCAGCGGCAGCUCCCCUUCCCAGCAUGCUGCCUUCUGGCUGGAGUCACACAUGCCUGCAGGCUGCAGUGUCACAGGGCCAGAGAGGCCGGCUCACGUGGAGAAUAUGGCACGGCUCUGCCAGCAGCAUGGGAUCCCCCUCUGGGUGGCCCCGAUCCUGGAACAAGCAGCAACAAUGAAGUGCGAUAAGAGCAGGAGGCACAAGGCAUACAGACUCAUCCGUAGGCGGCUGUGGGAAGGAAGAAUAGGCCUGGAGAAAACAAAGUAUCCAACUUACAUUUACCCAAAGGAGCUGAAGAACUUAAUGAGAUCCGCCUUCCCAGCAGGGGUCUGCGACUACCCUGACCCAGACCACAGCAAGGUGGUACACGUGACGCUCGAAGACCUGCACCUGCUCAAUCACCCCGAGGCAUGGAGUGCACAGCCCUGUCUGCAAUAGAACUUCUUCAGGCAUCAGAGCAUUUACCGGAACAGGAUGGAAUGAGGCAGCAGCAAGAGAGUUAUUUUCACCCUGCCCAGGAAUGACGUACAUAGGGCUCCAGCUACGUCCCUCCCUCAAAACAGUCCUCCCAACUCACCCCAUUACAGCCAAGUCUCACUGGCAGGUCUCGAGCUCUCUCCCCAGGAGCCCACCCUAUGAGCAAAAACACCUUUGUACCCACUUGCAGCCACCCCCCCUUUCUCCAAAGGGCAAACUGCUGAGUGAGUUCCCAUUUCUCUUACCUGUCACUGUGGCCCUGGCUUGAUCUUCCACCCAGCUGCUAUUCCCCUAGCGAGAUCUGCUGCCAGAGGAAAGCAGCACAGCUUGCAUCCUUCACUCCACCGUGGAAAGAGAAGUUCUUGACUGGUCCCAAAAGUGACAACAGAAGAGCUGCAUGGAGGUGGGGGUGAAUGCUUUUCCAGCAGCCCAAACCCAGGGGGCAGAAUAGCCCCAGCAGAUGUACACUAUACCCUUUCCACUGAUACAGGAGGUGAGGUAGGUCUGAGGCAGAGCCUUAAGCUGUGAACGCUCAUUUCCACUGUCCUGGUCUAGGAAUUGGUACAGCUAUGCUCUCAGGGGUGUGAAAAGUCCGCUCCCCGGAAAGACAGCGUUAUACUGACCUAACCUCCGAUGUAGUCAGCACUAGGUCACGAGAAGAAGUCUUCUGUUGACCUAGCUACUGCCUCUCAGAGAUAGAUUACCGACGCUGAUGAGAGACACCCUUCCGGUAGCAUGGGUAGCACCCAGGGAGUGCAUCCAUUGCCAGCUGUUAGUCACAGAGCGACCAUGGGCAAGUCAUUUCACCUUCUGUGUUUGUUUCCACAACCACACUUAUCUGACAAAAGUAGUUCAUGCUUUGAGAGCCUUGUAUGAAAAAUGCUGGAGAAGUGCAGUGCUAAGUAUUCCCUACUCAUUACUGUUCUGACAAGAGGAUGUGUUGUGAAUUUCAUUUUUGUUAAUAAAGGCUUU